GCAAACUUGGUCAUUUAGAGGAAGUAAAAGUCGUAACAAGGUUUCCGUAGGUGAACCUGCGGAAGGAUCAUUACCGUGGGGAUCUCGCGAUCCCUGCCGAGAUAGAACCCUUGCCUUUGCGUAUUCUGUUUCCUCGGCGGGUUCGCUCGCCAAUGGGGACAACCUAAACCCUUUGUUAUAGCAGUACACGUCCUAAAACAAAAUCGUUAAAACUUUCAACAACGGAUCUCUUGGUUCUGGCAUCGAUGAAGAACGCAGC
rnacentral:misc_RNA from 1 species